rnacentral:rRNA from 1 species
UACGUAGGGUGCAAGCGUUGUCCGGAAUUAUUGGGCGUAAAGGGUGCGUAGGCGGCGCGGUAAGUCGGGUGUGAAAUUUCGAGGCUUAACUUCGAAACUGCAUUCGAUACUGCCGUGCUUGAGGACUGGAGAGGAGACUGGAAUUUACGGUGUAGCGGUGAAAUGCGUAGAUAUCGUAAGGAAGACCAGUGGCGAAGGCGGGUCUCUGGACAGUUCCUGACGCUGAGGCACGAAGGCCAGGGGAGCAAACGGG